rnacentral:rRNA from 1 species
AGUGAACGCUGGCGGUAGGCCUAACACAUGCAAGUCGAACGGCAGCACAGUAAGAGCUUGCUCUUCCGGGUGGCGAGUGGCGGACGGGUGAGGAAUACAUCGGAAUCUACUUUUUCGUGGGGGAUAACGUAGGUAAACUUACGCUAAUACCGCAUACGACCUACGGGUGAAAGCAGGGGAUCUUCGGACCUUGCGCGAUUGAAUGAGCCGAUGUCGGAUUAGCUAGUUGGCGGGGUAAAGGCCCACCAAGGCGACGAUCCGUAGCUGGUCUGAGAGGAUGAUCAGCCACACGGGAAGUGAGACACGGUCCAGACUCCUACGGGAGGCAGCAGUGGGGAAUAUUGGACAAUGGGCGCAAGCCUGAUCCAGCCAUACCGCGUGGGUGAAGAAGGCCUUCGGGUUGUAAAGCCCUUUUGUUGGGAAAGAAAAGCAGCAGGUUAAUACCCCGCGGUUCUGACGGUACUCAAAGAAUAAGCACCGGCUAACUUCGUG